rnacentral:rRNA from 1 species
AACGGCCGUACCAUGCUGAAUAUACCGGUUCUCGUUAGAUCACCGAAGUCAAGCAUCAUUGGGCCCGGUCAGUACUUGGGUGGGUGACCACCUGGGAACACCGCGUGCCGUU